UACAGAGGUCCCAAGCGUUGUUCGGAUUCACUGGGCGUAAAGGGUGCGUAGGCGGUCGGGUAAGUCUGAUGUGAAAUCUCCAAGCUUAACUUGGAAAUGGCAUCGGAUACUAUUCGGCUCGAGGAAUGGAGGGGAGACUGGAAUACUUGGUGUAGCAGUGAAAUGCGUAGAUAUCAAGUGGAACACCGGUGGCGAAGGCGGGUCUCUGGGCAUCUCCUGACGCUGAGGCGCGAAAGCGUGGGGAGCGAACAGG
rnacentral:rRNA from 1 species